rnacentral:sRNA from 1 species
UUUUGAAGAACAUUCAUUUGCACACAAUGAUUGAUUAAAUUGAAGAGAAGCAACUCGUUAAUGAUGAAGCACAUUCUCAUUUCUUUUAUCUAUAAGCAAGCACAUAGCACACGGCCUUUCCUUGAUUGAAGAAAAUUAUGAAGACAUGGGACAUGCUGGGGAACCACUCACGGUUAUUUCUAUGAAUCAUAAUCAAUGAAUAUUAAAUGAAUUGGAGAUGCACGGCAAACCAUCCCAUGUAAUUCUUGAAAGUUAUGAAGCAUAAUGGAGGGGCACAUACAACAUCUCUCACGUGUUUGGAAGAUAGCAAGUUGCUGGAAAAUUCAUUUGCCAAGAGAUUAUCAAAGCUUGAAGUCAAAGUGGGAGCCACCUCCUUGGUGAAGAAGCAUUCACGGCAAAACAAAUGAAGAGUAUUGUUUAUUUUAAGUGGGAGACAACAUGUAGGGCCACCAUUGGAGGAGAAACCAAAUUGGCUUGAAAGAUGUAGAGACAUCACACGGUCCCAUAGGGUCACACGUCCAGCACAAUUGAUUGAAAGGAGUGGAAGAAAAGCUUUGCUAAAGAUUAAACAUUCUUGGCUUGGUUUUGGAGAAAGAGGCUGUAACGGAAAGGAAGAUGGAACCAGCCACUUGUUGAUUGGAGAAGAGAAGCCAGCAAGCGGUGCAGCUCCGUCCAUGCAUCCAGCCAUCUCCACCAGUCCAGCACUUAGCAUGUCACGGUAUUCCAGCAGUGUAGUAGGAGCUGUGAGCUGAAGACAAGCCAACGAAAGAGUGAAGAGCAACUGAUCCAAAGCCAGCACCUUGAGAGGAAGAAAUUCACGGUGGUGCAGCAACCCAGCAAGUUUCACAGUGGCUGUUGGAAGAAAAGGAAGAAGCUGCAGCUACCUACACGGUCCAGCCAUCUCCAAUCCAGUGGGGGAGAUGCUUCCCUGUCCAGCAAGUCGGCAGCAGCACUCAACCAGCAACAAACGUCCAGGAGCUUUCCAGUGGUAACAACAUCACUCACGGCUGGAGGCAGCAGCGGGGAAGGAGAUGCGUCCAGCUCCAUCACGGUCCAAUAUCCAGCAAGUCUAGACAGUAGUGGCUUCUUGGACAGCAGCGUUCAAACAUAAACAAGCUGGAUAUGUAACGGCUGGAAUAAAAGAGCAGCCAGCUUUUAUGAAGAGUCCAACACGUUGAGCUGGAAGCAUGGCAGUGCACGGUGGCUGCUGGAAUUGAAGAAAGGAAGCACGCUGGAAGAAAUGCCUCAAAGCUGCUGUCACGCCACUACAAAAAAAAUGGUAUUUAAGGGAGGUUAUUUUGCGGAGGUUAUAAAAACCCUCCGCAAAUUAAUAUGAUUUAAUUUGGUUCUAUUGAAUUGUGAAAGGCCUAAUGAUAGCGGAAGUUUUAAGUUCUUUUUAAAGAGGUUCAUAACUAACCAAAUUAUAAUACAUUUUUCUUUUUAUUUUUUUUCGUUUUUCAGUCUUUUUCUUCCAAAAUUUUAUCUUACUUUAUUUUUUCUCCAAAUUCCUAAACCUAAACUUAACUUCAUCAAACACUUCCUUUUUCUCAUGUAUCAUCUACACUCUUUGAGCCGUCUUCCCGUCACAGCCAUUCUCGACCAGAAAAAGCGUAAUGACGACCCACUGUAAAGUGCUGAGAAGGUGAUCUUGUAGAGGAGCUUGAUGUCGCCUAUCAUGAAGGUGGUGAGGAGUUCGGGGUCGACGUUGGACUAGACGAGGGAGUCGUAGACUUGGGAGACGCAUAUACAGUCAAAGGGGUUUUCAGUUCUAUGUUUUCCAUUUUUGAUUCAAAACUCAAAUCUUAAAACUCUUCCCCAAACCUCUCUUUUAGGUUUAGGUUUCAUGUUUCAGAGGCUUUACCUUUCACUAGUAUCCUCAAAUUCGUGAAAUCAUAAAACCCUAAUCGAAGAUGAGACAGUUCUCAAACGCCUCUGCACUUAUCGCGGCCACAACGGAUAUUCUGGUUAACUCAUAACAGGGAGUGGGGAUUAUUGCUGCCUUGUAUGUGUUUGAUGAAAUUCCUAGGUUAAGUGCAAUACAUUUUUGUUGCCCACCAUCGUUCUUCUAAUAAGAAAGGCGUUUUUAUAGUGUAAU